rnacentral:lncRNA from 1 species
GGUAGGCCGUGGAUAGUGGUAAAAACUGAUUGGUAAGCAUGAAAGAGGUUGGAAACAUGAUGGUGGAUAUUAGAUGGAGGUGGAGAAUGAGGAUGAGGGUCUGAUUUGGAAAACUAAGAGGUGAAAAGUGGAUAGUGGUAAAAACUGAUUGGUAAGCAUGAAAGAGGUUGAAAACAUAAUGGUGGAUAUUAGAUGGAGGUGGAGAAUGAGGAUGAGGGUCUGAUUUGGAAAACUAAGAGGUGAAAAGAUGCUACGGAAUUUGUGUGUAAAAGGUGAUAAAUAUUGGUGGUCGAAACAUGGUUAUCUAAAAGUUUAGUGGUACCUUGCAGAAUGAUGGGAAUGCCAUUAUGGUUGAAAGAGAGUUGAGGUGCAGAGAAAUAUGCUUGUAGGAGUCUAAGAGAAUAUAACCAAUCCAUGCCAAAGACUAAAUCAACACCUUCAAUAGGGAUUAAGUAGAAGGGAAUGGAGAAACAAUGUUGUUGAAUAGAAACAGUGAGGUUGAGGCAUAUAAAUGUGCAAUGUAUUUUGUCACCAUUGCCAACCAUUAUGGAAAAGGGUGUGAUCGGGAGACUACAAAGGUUAAGAAACGAGGUAAGACAAGGUUGGAGGAUGUUAUGAGAGCUGCUAGUGUCGAUUAAGAUGGUGACUGGGAGACUGACAAUGUAGCCUUGGAACUUAAAUGUGUGGGUUGAAGGUGUGCCGGAUAAAGCUUGAAGAGAUAGGUGGAUGUGAGAUGAGUCCACGGGUUCUUGGUCAUUGUCUAAGGUGGAAAUAGUAUCUGGUGAUGUAUCUGAGGGGCAUUCGUCUCCUAGUAACAACAAAAAACGUUUGGUUGCACAUUUCUGACCAUAAAUUUUUUUCUCAUCACAAUUGUAACAUAGGCCCGCGCGCUCUUCGUUCUUGAAGUUGGGCUGAAGAAAGUUUUUUUAUAGGAAGAGAUGAGGAUGUGGAUGGUAUAGCUGGUUGAAGAAAAAGGGGGCAAGGUGGGGGUAGCAAGUGUUGGGAAGGCUGAAACAGAAUGGCUAAGGAUUUUUAAAACGCUUGGUGUCAUUAUUCUUGGAUUCCAAGAGUUUGACAAGACCCAUGGCUUAGGUGAUGGAAGUAGGUUGGAGCAUAGCUAACUCACGUCUGAUUUUCGGAAUAAGGUUAGAGAUGAAACAAUUAAGGAUCAUUUCUGGAGUGAGGCCUAAAACUUGAUUGCAUAGUUUUUCAAACGUUCUCUGGUAUUCAAUGAUAAUGCUAUUUUGGCAUAGUUUGAACAGUUCCACUUGAUGUGGAGGGUCCAAAACGUAGUUCUAGAGCACGACUAAAAGAAAUCCAAUCAUUGCAUUGGUGAUUUUGAUACAUCCACUUGAACCAACUUAGAGCAUCACCAUGCAUAUAAAAAGUCGCCAUGUGUAGGCGAGAGUCCCAAGCUAUGUUAUAAAAUUAGAAAAACUGAUGAGUUUGAAAGAGCCAAUCCAGGGGAUCCGAGCCAUAAAAAAUGAGAGUUGUAUUUUGGGUGGUCUAGGCAUGGUUGAGAUAAGAGGGGAAGAAGAAAUUGGUGGGGGAAGAAUGGUUGUAGUGGUAGCAAAAAUAGAGGAGGUGGUGUUAAAGAUUAGGGGUGUGAUAGGCGAGAUUGUUUCUACAGAAAAAGGUAUCGAAGGGUUUGGGGGCAAGUCAUUGGGUUGAAAAAGAGUUGCAGGGAUGGCAGUUAAGAGAGUGUUGAUGGUGUGGGUGAAAGAUUCAUGCUUUGUUUCCAUGCUAUUUGGUGGUUUUCUAAAGUUUGGUGAAGGCUAUUGUAUCGAUUUUCAUGAUGUUCAUGGUGUUAUGGAGUUGGGUUUGGAGGUUAGCUAAUUUGUCUAGGAUGAAUUGGAGGGUUUCAUCUAGGUCUUUGUUUGGUUUGGGAGGCAUGGUGCAGGCUCAAUGAAAGCACCAAUUGAUAUGCAAUUGCAUAAGAAAAAAGAACACAAGGCCUACGAAACAGGGGUUAACACCCCAUGGAAAUCUAUUUAAAAAUAAAAUUUCAUUGUCCUUUUCUUUCUAUCAGAGGUCUUAUAAAGACCAUUUUUCAUUGGUGGACAACUGACCUAAGUUAACAGAAAAAGAAAACAAAAAAGAUCUUCCAAGAUCCUCACAAACAGAUAGACAUUCAUAAAUAAUCCUAGAUAAAAUUUUUUAGCCAUGUGAACUUAGAUGUCUUUUUAAUGGGCAUUUGAGGAAUGAG